UUCACCUUUCAAACCUUCCCUCCAUAAUCCUGGCCGGCGAACCAAGCCUCCGUCGCGCCAGAGCUCAUCGUCGGCGACGGCGGAGCUCCAAACGUGAAAACCAACCAACAAAAAGGUCGUCUCUACCUCACGGUCUCGAAUAUCCAAACCAAACUUCUUAAUUCUAAACUCACAAGACAAAUUGCGACUGGACCUGUGUGAAACCUAAGCUAAUAUAUCAGAAAUUAAACGAGCCGUGGUGAAUAUCAGUAGCGACCAGGUUAGGGUUUCAGUUUCUAUAAUCUAAUACUACCUUGUGGUAACCAAAAUAGAGCAUGACCAGAGAGUUUGAACUGCAUACCUGCUGGAGACGAUGCCGGAGAUGACGACGGUGAUGACGACGGUCACAGGUUAUCAGACUAGAAAUUUGCCCACUCUACAUAUUGGGUAGCAGUGGCAUCAAAUAUUCCUUUUGGUUUGCCGUGUCAGUUUCUAGGAACUAAUUCUGAAGAGAAUCAACCACAUCUAUAAAGACUCCAUACUUUAAUGAAACUUUGGGCCGGUGGCAAGCCUCGAAGGUUGCGAGCUACUGCGAUGGAAACCUUAGUCUCAGUGCCGUAGUAUCAUAACUUAUAACUGUGGGUUGUCUACUGCAGGUUGAAGGCUCUCGUUCUUCAUAAUCACCCCUAACCGGUGCUAACCGAGCAUUAGCCUUAGCAGUUGGAGGUGCCACUUGCAAUGGUGAAGUCAACGUACCAGAAACAAGAGGAUUAGAUUCGUCCUCAUACCACCUUUCGCUAGUCGGUACAGUGGCUUACUAUGGCUCUACCCAAUCAAACUUAGACGGUAUUUUCGUCAGAGAUUGCAUCUCCUGUUACCGAAGUCUAAGAAUACUCGGCUCUUUAUUACUGCUUCUAAUGUUUUGCUUUUACACGGCAAUGACUUACAUUCCUGCAGGUUGCUUUUUCAUGUCACAGCUCGUGUGCAUAACAGUCCACUUCAGCUGUAUUUUGGCUACGGUACUCUGAUGCUUCAGCUGCUAUUGGAAGCGUGGCAGCCCUUCCUCCAUUCCAAAUAUCUGAGAUGUCGUCGUGCUGUUAUGGUUGUUUUUCGUUAGCAUUUAGUAACUCCCUCCAUUACCAAAUGUAACUCAGUGAAAUGCGAUUAACAAAUGAUAGACCCUGUUAAUAUUGGCUACAAACAUUGACGUUUCGUUUGACUAACUUGUCGUGCUGUCAUGAACUGCCGUGAUGUCACCAUAAUGUUGCAUUCCCCUUAUGAAUUAGUGCAAGUCGUGUGAAGUGUAAUCAAGGCUUAGACAUGAUCUGACCCGGUUUAUGCUUCACGUUGCAUCUUUUACGAACCGCGUAAUUACCGUUCGCUUUACAUUGAACCUCUGUCAAAGUCUGAUUGUCCUGCAAUUAUUUUCUCUUUUUCUCUAACAGUAAUGUAUCUGGCUUCACCUCUUUAGUGUGUUAUGCCUUUCCUUGGGAAACCAUCUGCUUUGCUAGCAGCUGGGUCCAGCCAACUGAAAAUAAUGUUUUUGAACCUUGCGACAUCCUGUUGACCCUUGCGACUAGGUUUAGGAAAUACUUUAUUUUUGCAGGCUUGUGAGCAUUCUGAGGUGCACCAGAGUUCCUUUUAGCAUGUCCAAGACUCUGCUUAGAAAACAUUCAUCACAGAAACAUUUCCGACAUUCCGAACUAGCUCCGUCAUUAGGGAGACAGGCGAUAUACAAUGAUGAAGGAAGCAAAAUUCGCCGCGGAGCUCGAGAUACAAAAGUUUCAACAGGACCUGAUGCGUUUCUAGUAAGCAUUCCGAUUUCAGCCAGCUUGUGCGGCUUACUCGUAGUUUGUGCAUCAUCAUGAUCGCCAACCUGUCUUAUGCUUGAAAAAAACUGCUAAAUAGAGACAAGACAACAUCCUUAAAUAAGCCCCAAAUCACUGCCGACAUUACCAAUGCCGUAUACAGGGUAACCGACCAUUAUUUCUCGAAUAGAAGAAAAAUGCGGUUUGCGAUCUUCGGUUGUACUGCCAUUCUGGAAUUUAUGCUGCUGAGUCUUAAUCACGUGCGCAUGUGGCUUUUUGUAGGUUAUCAGAGCAGGAGAUUUGCAGUGGCGUUAUGCUCGAGCGGAUCCCACACCUCCUUCUGGCUUCGCGUUCGAACUACUAGAGGCAAUUGGGAUUUAAGCAAUUUAUGCCCUUAUGAACUGGAACUCCUUAACACUAGGAACAAAACUACCAAGUGCAACCAGAAUGUGAGAAUAUCUUACGGCGAAGAAUUUGCAUCCUGCAAGAUGCUCAUAGCGCGGUGAACCAACAUUUGACAUUCUUCCAUUGUAAAACAUAUCGAAAGGAACAAGGGUAUUAUGAUCAGGCACAGGACUAGCAACAUGCUGUUUUUCGUGUGGAAUGAAGGCAAACGAGGUAUCGGCUUUUAGUGAACCAUAAGCGUCACUACUGAGAAGGUUCCACUUGGGACCAACCUUGGCAAGCAUGGCAGAACCACUGGAUAUAACUGGUGCGGGAAACUCUAACCAAUUCAAUGCUUGAGAGCCUUUCUUCUUGGAUCCUUGACUUGGUGGCAAGCUUUGAUCGUGCAGGUUUUGGAAGGGAAACGACUAGCCAAGAACACAUGACACGGGUUGGACAAAACACAUAAACAAAUGGCCAAAUUUGAUUUUUGAAGCAUCAUGGACAAAUAGCAAACUCCAGGAUCAAGAUUGACUUUUAAAUUAGAAAUAGGAUUGGGAUUUAUGGGGUUGAGUUGACUUUGGUCAGAGUUGACCAAAAAGUCAAAUGUUGACCAAAGUCAACAGUUGGUCAACGCUCUUAUUCUUUGUAUUUUUUUUUUUUAUGUAAUGAACUUUUUAUGAUCAUGUAAUGAAUGGUACUUCCUUAUUUAAAUG